UGGGGAAUUUUGGACAAUGGGGGAAACCCUGAUCCAGCCAUCCCGCGUGUGCGAUGAAGGCCUUCGGGUUGUAAAGCACUUUUGGUAGGAAAGAAACGUCAUGGGUUAAUACCCCGUGAAACUGACGGUACCUGCAGAAUAAGCACCGGCUAACUACGUGCCAGCAGCCGCGGUAAUACGUAGGGUGCAAGCGUUAAUCGGAAUUACUGGGCGUAAAGCGUGCGCAGGCGGUUCGGAAAGAAAGAUGUGAAAUCCCAGAGCUCAACUUUGGAACUGCAUUUUUAACUACCGGGCUAGAGUGUGUCAGAGGGAGAUGAAAUUCCGCGUGUAACAGUGAAAUGCGUAAAUAUGCGGAGGAACACCGAUGGCGAAGGCAGCCUCCUGGGAUAACACUGACACUCAUGCACGAAAGCGUGGGGAGCAAACAGG
rnacentral:rRNA from 1 species